GGGGUUGUGGCUCAGUGGUAGAGUGCUUGCCUCACACGCAUGAGGCCCUGGGUUCAAUCCUCAGCACCACA
rnacentral:tRNA from 1 species